UACGGGGGGAGCAAGCGUUGUUCGGAUUUACUGGGCGUAAAGGGCGCGUAGGCGGCCAGCACAAGUCAGUUGUGAAAUCUCCGAGCUUAACUCGGAGAGGUCAACUGAUACUGUGCGGCUAGAGUGCGGAAGGGGCAACUGGAAUUCUUGGUGUAGCGGUGAAAUGCGUAGAUAUCAAGAGGAACACCUGCGGCGAAGGCGGGUUGCUGGGCCGACACUGACGCUGAUGCGCGAAAGCUAGGGGAGCGAACGGG
rnacentral:rRNA from 1 species